rnacentral:rRNA from 2 species
UCUCCGUUGGUGAACCAGCGGAGGGAUCAUUACCGAGUUAUUCAACUCAUCAACCCUGUGAACUUACCUAAACGUUGCUUCGGCGGGAAUAGACGGCCCUGUAAAACGGGCCGCCCCCGCCAGAGGACUCUUAACUCUGUUUCUUAUAAUGUUUCUUCUGAGUAAAACAAGCAAAUAAAUUAAAACUUUCAACAACGGAUCUCUUGGCUCUGGCAUCGAUGAAGAACGCAGCGAAAUGCGAUAAGUAAUGUGAAUUGCAGAAUUCAGUGAAUCAUCGAAUCUUUGAACGCACAUUGCGCCCGCCAGUAUUCUGGCGGGCAUGCCUGUUCGAGCGUCAUUACAACCCUCAGGCCCCCGGGCCUGGCGUUGGGGAUCGGCGGAGCGCCCCUCGUGGGCGCACGCCGUCCCCCAAAUACAGUGGCGGUCCCGCCGCAGCUUCCAUCGCGUAGUAGCUAACACCUCGCGACUGGAGAGCGGCGCGGCCACGCCGUAAAACACCCCAACUCUUCUGAAGUUGACCUCGAAUCAGGUAGGAAUACCCGCUGAACUUAA